rnacentral:rRNA from 1 species
UUACCCAAUCCCGACACGGGGAGGUAGUGACAAUAAAUACUGAUGAGCGGCUCUUUUGGGCCGUUCAAUUGGAAUGAGUACAAUUUAAAUCCCUUAACGAGGAACAAUUGGAGGGCAAGUCUGGUGCCAGCAGCCGCGGUAAUUCCAGCUCCAAUAGCGUAUAUUAAAGUUGUUGCAGUUAAAAAGCUCGUAGUUGAAACUUGGGCCUGGCUGACCGGUCCGCCUCACCGCGUGCACUGGCUCGGCCGGGCCUUUCCUUCUGGGGAGCCGCAUGCCCUUCAUUGGGUGUGCCGGGGAACCAGGACUUUUACUUUGAAAAAAUUAGAGUGUUCAAAGCAGGCCUAUGCUCGAAUACAUUAGCAUGGAAUAAUAGAAUAGGACGUGUGGUUCUAUUUUGUUGGUUUCUAGGACCGCCGUAAUGAUUAAUAGGGAUGGUCGGGGGCAUCAGUAUUUAAUUGUCAGAGGUGAAAUUCUUGGAUUUAUUAAAGACUAACUACUGCGAAAGCAUUUGCCAAGGAUGUUUUCAUUAAUCAGUGAACGAAAGUUAGGGGAUCGAAGACGAUCAGAUACCGUCGUAGUCUUAACCAUAAACUAUGCCGACUAGGGAUCGGACGGUGUAUUAUUUUGACCCGUUCGGCACCUU